rnacentral:rRNA from 1 species
UACGUAGGGGGCCAGCGUUGUUCGGAAUUACUGGGCGUAAAGGGUUCGUAGGCGGUGCGGCAAGUUGGGUGUGAAAUCUCUGGGCUUAACCCAGAGGCUGCUUCCAAAACUGCUGUGCUUGAGUGUGGGAGAGGCGCGUGGAAUUGCAGGUGUAGCGGUGAAAUGCGUAGAUAUCUGCAGGAACACCCGUGGCGAAAGCGGCGCGCUGGACCACUACUGACGCUGAGGAACGAAAGCUAGGGGAGCAAACAGG